rnacentral:lncRNA from 1 species
UAACUUUGCUUAUCAUUUUUCUCCUUGAACACUAGAGUUCGUGGAGACACUGAAACUGUGGAAUUCUUCGGAGUUUCUAUCUUCACUUUAUAAGUUGCUCCACCUUUACCAACAUUUGUAAGGGUCCUCCUGAAUUUCUGCUCCAACCAGGUGAAGUUCCCCUCCAGGCUGAACGGGUACAAGGCGAUGAAUGAUGGGUAGUUGAGAUCAGCUGAUGGAUUUGAGCAGUUGUCGUAAUUGGCUGAUGAUCUUGCAAAUGUUUUGAAUUGCUCUUCUGUGAAAUUCAAAGAGCAUAUAAGAUUUAUGUAAUCUUGUGGAGUAGCCUCAUAUACUAGGCCGGGAUCAAGAGCUCUGUUCGGGUCAACGUGACCUGCUCCCAUGUCUAGUGGCGUCGCAAUCAUGUUAUCAUCCUCUCUAAUAGGCUUUUGAGUACUAUCCAAAUGGUUUGCUGUGGUCAUCAUGGCGGAGCGAAUAGCUGAAGGACUCCAUUCAGGAUGUGCACCUUUUAGCAUUGCUGCAAUUCCAGCUGCAUGAGGAGCAGCCAUGGAUGUGCCUGAUUUAAGUUCAUAAUCAGAGGAUAAUUUUAUGUUCUGAAUACUUUCUGAAAAGAUAUUAGGUGGAAAUGCUGCAAGAAUCAGUACCCCUGGUGCCAUGAUAUCUGGCUUUGCGAUUCCCAAGUAGCUGCUGGAGGGCCCUCGUGCUGAGAAUCGAGCAAGAACUGGGGCUGGCCUUUCUCCAUCCAUGUACGUUUCUUGAAACAUUAUGGUGGCCGUGGGAGCAGCACUGCUCUUAACAUAAUUGAUGAUUUGUUUCCCUUCCUUUUUGCUAACCACAACUCCCGGGUAGGAAAAAGAAGAAGAUUGUAAACACUGCUGGAUCCUCAGAAAUAAAAAUGCCUGCUUUAAGUCUUGCUCGAUUGAUGUUAAAAAUUUGGCUAGGGAAACCAAAACCAUCUUCAUCUGCAUUAUAAUCACAGAUGACAAUGGUGCGUUCAGGAUCAGGAACUUGUGAUAACAGUUCUUCUGAUUUGCAAUCGGCUAGAGUCUUGUUGUAAAUCACCAGUGAAUCCCUGACAAAGGCUCUUGCAGGAAACAAGCUCCACCCCCUAAUUUUUAACCCAUUGCCCAAAGUCAAAGUUCCUGAAAAUCUCCUGUCAGUGUGGCCUGCUGCCACACACAAGAUCCAUGGAGAUCCAUUGUUUAAACUUCCAAUCCCUGGACCUCGAUUUCCAGCUGAUGCUGAAACCAGAACUCCCUUCAUCAUAGCUCCAAAAGAAGCAAUAGAUAUAGCAUCUUCAUACAAGGGAAUGAAACGGUACCCAUAAGAAAUGGAUAUCAUGUCAACACCAUCUGCAACAGCUUGGUCCAUAGCAGCAAUUAAAUCUGAUGUAAAAGUUCCUUCGCUAAAGCUAAACUUGUACACAGCUAUCCUAGCUCGUGGAGCAACCCCUUUUGCUGUCCCUGGUGCAUAUCCAAAAUGGGAAGAACCUUUCGCAAAGUUCCCAGGAGCAAUGGAAGCGCAAUGUGAACCGUGACCACUAGUAUCCCUGGCAGAAUUCAUGGAAAUGUUCACAGUGGGAUCAUCAGCCAAAAUUCCCUUAUUGAAGUAAUUAACCCCAAUGAGUUUUCUAUUGCACAUCGAAGUAUUAAACUGAGUGCCGGGUCUGCAAAUUCCCUUCCACCUUUUGGGGAUUUCAGGCAUACCAUCAUCUUGGAAACUCGCGGACUCAGGCCAGAUUCCACCAUCAAGAACUCCAACAAUCACAUCUUGGCCUAAACUAGAAGCUGGCCAUAGGCCAGAUGAAGGAUUGAGCUUGAGGAAAUCAGAUGUGUGGGUAGUAUGAGGUUCCACAGUUCUGUCUUUGUAUGCUGAAAUGAAACCUGGUGACUUCUUCAAAGCUGCCAGUUCAUCUUUGGACAAAACAGCACUGAAGCCAUGAAACACAUUGUCAUAAGAGUAAACAAGUUUUGGAGCAGAGUGGAAUCUGUCUAGUGAUGAAGGAACAGAAGCUUUGAUGGAAUCAAUAGUAGAAGAAUGCCAAUGAUGGUGAUCAGUAAAGACAUUAGGCAUUAAAGAUUUGUCCAAAUGGACAAUAUAAGUGGAUCUUUGUGCUAUAGCUAUGAAACAGAACAUAUGAGUAGAAAGAAAGAGAAGAUGAAGAGAAUAAGGAAACCCCAUUCUAGAUUCCAUAGCACUACACAAUACACUUCCUAAAAAUCACUAAAUUUUCAAUCUAUCUUAUAAAAUUAUGCAUAGAAAGCAUGAGGGUCCCUUGAGUAAUCAGUAGAGUUAGGUGGAGAUUAAAAUAAGUUAAAGAGGUAUUAUUGUAGUAGUAAAGGUAGGCGGCUUGUAUAAAAGUAAACUAUACCAAUUCUGUCAGCUUAUGUUCCUUUUGCUUCUAAAUAAUAUAUAUAUUAGUAUCUGUUAAUGAUUUUAAUAAGCAUUGUUGACUUGUUGAAUCAGUCAAAUGAGAAUUGAAAGAUUAGAAAAGGCAAAUGACCAUUCAGCACAAUUAUCAUUUUGGUCUGUAUUAGAAGAUAAAAUCUUAUAUUUUUGAGUCCACAAACUUUGGAUCCAAUUUUAUGUGAGGUAAAAAAUAAUCUCAUAUGAUCAGUAUCGGUGGUUUGAAUCACAAAAAUGAUUUGAACUUUGUCAUAAGUUAUCUCUUCUUUUUUUUCCGUUUCUAAGAACUUUUAUCUUUUGCUUUCUUGGUGACUCGAAUAUGAUAAUGCCAUAUUACUUCUCCAAUAAUUGUGGGCUUUAAUCAAAGGUUCCAUUGAAUAUUAUGUGAUAAGGCCAUAGACCUUUCCUCGUGGUCCCAAAUUUCAUCAAUCACUCAAAAUCAAUGAUGUAAUGGGACGUAUAUAAGAAAGGAAGAAAUAUUUUUAUCUUUAAAGAAAGAGAGAAUUCAAAGUACUAGAAUUAGUUAGAGAGGAAAACUAAAGAAGCAAUAUUCCUAGCUUAGUAUCAACUAUCACCAGAGACACCAUUGACCUUCGUCAUUUUGCAAAUGUUAUCGAGUUAUUGAUUUACGAGGUUGAUAUUAUGACUAUGAUCCUUUUGUGUUCGUCUCACACCUAUAUUUCUAUGAUAAUGAUAAUUGAUAAUCACAUAAACGCUUUAAUUUAUAAUUUCCAUUAUUAAACUAAGUAGGGCGUACUUAGUUAUAUCUCUAUCUUAGAUGCAAAUCCUCUCCCCGAUGUCCAAGGUUAAGAUCCUACUCUACUUAAUCCUCGUUCUAUCUCAAUUUCCCUCUCUUCCGAGUUCAAUACAAGAAUAUAGAUGUAUUAUACUAGUCUCGAAUGAGUGAAAUAGUAAAUUCAAGAUCAAAUAAACAAUGCAUAUGAUAAAUGCAGUUCAACUCAAGACGUAACAUCAUGGAUCAUAAUAUAUAGAAUUAGCAUGGUAUUAUUAACUCAACAUCAUGUUUAUUACAACGAAACUUCAACUACGGUAAACUAGUAUUCUCUGCACACAUAUUCAUUAGCUUGCCCUCAUUUGUUCAACUUUUCUGAAGCAAAAAUUUUUAACUUGUACAUUCACAUAGAAAGAAAUAUACAAGUUUUUUUUAUUUUUGUACUACAUUUCCCUUUAUACCUCUAAAACUCAAGAAUCUGAUGGCCCUAGUCAUCACUCACUACCCCAGACCUCAACAAUGGGAGAUGUCACAACAGGACUCCUAACAGAGUGGUUACCCUUCUCUUCAACCCAAGUGAUCGACCCAAAGUUCGUACUCUGAUCACUAUCACCUAUAUAUUGAAUUGUCAAACUAUAACUUUGCUUAUCAUUUUUCCCCUUGAACACCAGAGUUCGUGGAGACACUGAAAUUGUGGAAUUCUUAGGAGUUUCAAUCUUCACAUUAUAAGUUGCUCCACCUUUACCAACAUUUGUCAGGGUCCUCCUGAAUUUCUGCUCCAACCAGGUGUAGUUGCGCUCGAUGCUGAAUGGGUACAAGGCAAUGAAUGAUGGGUAAUUGAGAUCAGCUGAUGGAUUUGAGCAGUUGUUGUAAUUGGCUGAUGAUCUUGCAAAUGUUUUGAACUGCUCUUCUGUGAAAUUCAAAGAGCAUAUAAG